rnacentral:rRNA from 1 species
GACGUAGGUGGCGAACGUUAUCCGGAAUUAUUGGGCGUAAAGGGCUCGUAGGCGGUUUGUCGCGUCUGCUGUGAAAACGCGAGGCUCAACCUCGCGCCUGCAGUGGGUACGGGCAGACUAGAGUGCGGUAGGGGAGAUUGGAAUUCCUGGUGUAGCGGUGGAAUGCGCAGAUAUCAGGAGGAACACCGAUGGCGAAGGCAGAUCUCUGGGCCGUAACUGACGCUGAGGAGCGAAAGCGUGGGAGCGAA